GGACAUUCGGGCAGAAUUGGAGAAGGAGAAAGGUUUAUUGCAGGGUUCGGGAAACAUAGUGAUGCCAGUGAACUAUGAUGCUCAGGGCCAAAACCCGAGAUGGGAAUGCCUGGAUCGUGGAGCAAUCAAAGAUUUAGCUAAGGCCAUUCGGGACAAUGGGUUGUCAUCACCAUAUUUCAAACAGAUGUUGAAAAGCAUUUUUGGCAUGUAUGAUUUAACACCAUAUGAUCUUAAAUAUCUCGCAACAUCAGUUCUUACAGACACCCAAGCUCUCAUUUGGCAGAAGGCGUGGCGGAGAUCCCUGGAGGAGCUGAGAGCCAGAUACCAAGGCGGGCCAAACGCGAACCUCACCAUGGUGCAGCUUGCCGGUGAUCCUCCUGAGGACGAUCCAACUCAGCAGGCGGUGAGACUCCCACGGCACGUGCUCAGCGACAUCAAAGAGGCGGCACGGAGAGCAAUUCUUCAGAUUGCUCCGGCGGGGGUCCAGGACAACAUCUACACCGAGAUCAAGCAGGGUUCUUCAGAGCCAUUUUCCUCGUUCGUGGAUCGUCUUUCUCAGGCAGUGGAGCGGCAGGUGACCGAGGAGGGGGCGAAACCACAUCUGACCAAAAGCCUCGCGUUCUCCAAUGCCAACCCAGAGUGCAGGCGAAUCAUCAGCAUGAUGCCACACCAGGCCACCUUGGCAGACAUGAUUGAGGCGUGCAGCAAGGUGGGAACACCACAACAUGUUGCUUCCAUCAUGGAGGAACACUUGGGGGAUCGAAUUGAAAAGCGUGUUAAGGAAGUUCUUGCAAAUUAUGCAAAGGGCAACACCGGUGCAGAGAGACGGUGCUUUGGGUGUGGGGCACAAGGACAUUUUAAAAGGAACUGCCCACAACUUGCAAAGCCCAACAAGCCACCAGACCUCUGUCCUCGAUGCAGGAGAGGGAGACAUCUCGCGAGUGAGUGCCACUCACAGACAGACGUGGAUGGAAAACCUCUUCCGGUUCCGGGAAACGGGAAAAAGAGCGCGAAUCGACGCCAGCGCGCACCGACACAAAUUCUGGCGGUGACACAGAAUCAGCAGGAGCAAUCCUCGGGGAACAACAAACAGAAUCCUUCAGCAGAGCAAUCUCCAAAAUCCCCAGCGACCCAGACUUGGUACCACCCGGAUUCCAACGCGUCCUGGCAACCUCCAAAUUGACGUGUUUUUUGGACAAUAGCCAUGCAGUGAUACCCACAGGUGUCACAGGGACUUCUUGGAAAAGGCAGGAUUUUUUAAUAAUGGCCAGAGACAGAAGCAGCAUUCUUGGACUUGUUGUUUACCCAUCUUUGAUUUCAGCAAACCGUAAUGAGGAGCUGAUGGUCACAGCAAAAGCCUUGCGACCACCUUUGACAAUUCCACAAAAUACACCAAUUGCUCGAGCCAUGGCUUUGCCAUCUCACCCAGAAAGAGCGAGGACCGAAGUGGGUGUCGGCGAGGCACGUGAAACCUUAUCGGGUGCAGACGCCAGUGGACGUGGACCCGAGAAGCAGAGAGGCAAGCACGCAGACGAAGGCAGACAACAACGCUGCAGACGUCUCGUCAGACAACGAUUGAUCACCCAGAGACUUGGGGGGUUUUCUUUUCCUGGGAAAUCAAGUGUUGUUUGGGUGUUGCUGCAUUGCAGGGUCUCUCACAGAGGGUGGGGGCAUGGACAUGGGAUUCAGGCAGAUAGUGUUCAUGUGCUUCAUUCUCUUGCCUAUUGCCUUGGGCAAUUGGACAGACUUUCCCGUGAAACAACCAAAGGAAAAUGUGUGGGAAACUUUGGCAAAGGCAGCGGGUCUAGACAGCAUUUGUCUGACUCAUUCAAAGCCAGGAAAACCAUUUUCAACAUGUUUAGUAGGUGUGCCAGUGAAGGAAUGGCCAAUUCCAAAAGGCAUCCCUCCAGAGAUUCUGAAAACUUUUUCGGAUCCUGUGGAAGGAUGGCAAGUUUGGACACAGUACCUUCCUGUGGCUCACUUGGAACCUCCAGAAUUGGACAUUUUUGGAUCAACAAAAAUGAAAUGGUGCAUUGAAUUUAAUUCAUCAGGAGUGGCAAAGACAGAUAAUCAUACAAUAGAUGUCACUCCCAAUCAGCCUUUUUAUAAAAAUGCAUCAUCUUGGUGCAAUCACACAAAAAUAACAAGCAAACCAUCCCUUCAACACCCAGCCACUUUACCGAAGGGAAUGUUUUUCAUUUGCGGGGACAGAAUUUGGCCUGCUAUCCCUGCAAAAAUCAAGGGCGGUCCAUGCAGCAUCGGGGAACUCUCAUUGUUAACACCUGAUUUGAAAACUUUACAAAAGCAGACACACAGGGAAAAAAGAUCCCUUGAACAACAUAGUCCAAAUUGUGAUGAUGAUGUUUCUACCUGGAACAAGGCUCAGAGAAUUGCAAUAGCAAUUUUCUCACCCCAAACAGCAUCAGGGGUGGCCUUGACACAAUUGGAUCAUAUAGCGUGUUGGUUGAGUAAACACAGUCGUGCCAUUUCGUUUGCACUGAGUGACAUGUUAACAGACAUCAGCGGUGCAAGGCAAGCAGUGCUUCAAAACAGGGUGGCAAUUGAUUAUUUGCUGCUGACACAUGGGCACGGAUGUGAGGAAUUUGAGGGGAUGUGCUGCAUGAACUUGUCCGAUCAUUCAAAAUCUAUUCAUGAAAAUAUAAAACAAAUACAGAAUAGUAUUAGCAAAUUGAACAGAGUUACAGGGUCCUGGUGGGAUAAUUUGUUUAACUUUUUUGAUAUCUCACCAUUGUGGAAAGAACUUUCGAAAAUAGCAUUUUAUAUUCUUAUAGGGCUUGUAGUUCUUCUGCUUGUUCUACCAUGCGUUUUCGUGUGUAUUCGAAAGACCUUGAACAGCAUGGUAAAGCGGGUUUUUCUGGUUCAAACAGAGAGGGGAGAUGUCGGAACCCAAAAUGUCCCUCAGACAUUUUUAGAGGUUCCAGGCCUUGGUCAGAAGCAUUUUAGACCCUGGCAAGCAGCUGAAAACAGCUGUGAUUUUGAGUUUGAACCAUGGAAUGAAUUACCAACUUUGGGGGUGGAACAAGCAGUCACAGAAUGUUAGAUGGUAUAGUAAAAGUAGUCACAAAUUAGAGGGUAAAAUUUUUUAGUGUUGUACAGGGGGGUUUUAGUACCUGUACAGGGGGGUUUCCACUUUGUACAGGGGGGUCAGGAGUUCUAAGAUGGAGGAAAGUGGUCCUUAUCUUAUUCUUCCUCCUUCUUCUUCCUUACCUCCAUGUUCUUGGUGAUGUUGGCAUUCACAGAUUGGUUUAGAGUAGAAAAUCACAUUGUAACGUAGAUAGUAGGUAUUGGGGAAAAUCUAUAAACAUAUAGUACGUAAUAUAUCAUAUAAAAGAUAGUAGCAGCUUUGGGCGGGGAGAGAGACGACGGAGACACCGGACAGUGAGGGUGUCAGGAGAGUGUGUGUGUCUCUGCCUGGGCCGCAGACCAAAGCAGCCGCAGCGGGCGAAGACAAUCUUUUAGAUAGCUAGCAAUAAACUACCUUGAGAC
ensembl:lncRNA